CCGCCGUGAUGUAACGAAUUUCUUCACCUGAAUGAACCGUGUUGAUCGAACACACGAGCUUUUUAACCCUGAGCCGU